ensembl:lncRNA
UCUUCACAGUGGUCAGCUCUGGUUUAUGUGUUGCUGACAUCAGAGCAGAAGAUGGAUGUGUUUGAUCUGAAACAGUUUAUUGGAGCACAACAUACAGCAGAUGAAGUUCUUCAGAAUCUGUUACCUGUGGUUAAAGAAUCCAGAUCAGUUCGCUUGAUAGGAGGACAUUUUUCCAGGUCUAAUGCAGCCUUGUGCUGAUGGUGGAAUCAAAUGAAGCAGGAGACAAAUUGAUGCAAAUGACCUAUUCUAAAUAACAGAUUUGACAACUUCAGGAAAAAAUACAUGAACACAGAAUAUAUAUAAUGCAUGAAUAUAGAUAAUCUUAUACUGAAAUAUAGUCUAACCUGAAACAUUGGUUUCAUCCUCCUUUACAGCUGAUUCCGAAGUCAGUCGGGUCCUUGAAGGUCAUGGGAGAAGCCACAAACUUGGUAUUCUUGAAAAAAGAAAGAAAAAAAAAAUGUAAUGACAACAAUAUCUCUCACAGGAACCAUUCUUUUAAGUUGAUUGUGAAGUCACACAGUGGCUCUGUUCACACCUGGCAUUAGCAAGCAUCUUGGGUAAUGCACAAGUGAACAGACGCAAGACACAUAUGACCACAUUCUUUUAUUACAGGAUUAGUUCAAAAAUCAAAAUUCCAUCGUUUACUCAGCCAAGAGGUUUGUUAUCUUUGAAAUAAAACUGAAGAUACUUUAACA